rnacentral:tRNA from 1 species
CCCUUUUAACUCAGCGGUAGAGUAACGCCAUGGUAAGGCGUAAGUCAUUGGUUCAAAUCCGAUAAGGGGCUUUAGUUUUUU